rnacentral:tRNA from 1 species
UCGAUUAGAACUCUAAAAAAAGAUUAUGCUGUUAUCCCUAAGGUAAUUUAUUCUUAUAAUCGUU